rnacentral:lncRNA from 1 species
GGAAGGGGUUUUUGGAGGGUUUGGAGUGUAGGGAGGUUGAGAAAUAGGAGAGGGAGUGUUUGGAGGGGUUGGGACAUAAGGUUGGUUGCCAGGGGAAGGUGUUUUUGGAGGAGUGGGAACAUUUGGAGGACUAUAAGAAGGAGACGGUGUUUUUGGAGGCGUUGGAAUAUAGGGUGGUUGGUUACGAGGAGAAGGAGCAUUUGGAGGACUAUAAGCUGGAGAAGGUGUUUUUGGAGGAGUGGGAACAUUUGGAGGACUAUAAGAAGGAGAAGGUGUUUUUGGAGGUGUAGGAACAUAGGGUGGAUGGUUACCCGGGGAAGGAGCUAUUGGGGGGGCGUAAAUAGGAGAAGGUGUUUUGGGAGGUGUUGGAACAUUAGGAGGAGUAUAAACAGGGGAAGGAGUUUGUGGAGGAGUUGGAAUAAAUGGAGGAUGAUUAGUAGGUGAAGGUGCUUUAGGAGGAACAUAGGGAGGACUGUGAAUAGGAGAAGGUGUUUUUGGAGGGGUUGGAACAUAAGGUGGAUAAGGAAUUUUUGGAGGAGUUUGAGGAGGUGUUGGAACAUAAGGUGCUUUUGGAGGAGUAAUUGGAACAUAGGGAG